UACAGGGGGGGCAAGCGUUGUUCGGAAUUACUGGGCGUAAAGGGCUCGUAGGCGGCCAAUUAAGUCCGACGUGAAAUCCCCAGGCUUAACCUGGGAACUGCGUCGGAUACUGAUUGGCUUGAAUCCGGGAGAGGGAUGCGGAAUUCCAGGUGUAGCGGUGAAAUGCGUAGAUAUCAGGAGGAACACCAGUGGCGAAGGCGGUGCUCUGGGCCGGAACUGACGCUGAGGAGCGAAAGCGUGGGGAGCGAACGG
rnacentral:rRNA from 1 species